AAGACAUAAUAGAAUAUUUACAAAGGUGGUGCUAAAGAAAAUUAAUUGUGAGAUAGAAAGGGAAUGCGACGUAUGUGGACGUUUCCCGGAAACUCUUAUGCAUUUGUUUAUAGAAUGUGAGGAUUUAAAAUAUUUUUUUUGUAAAGUUAAGGAAAUGUUAUGUAGAAACUGGGGGGGAGAUUUCGUGAAAAAGUAUGCGUGGGAGGAACUUUUGUUAUUUGGAGUGUCUGGUAAAUGUGAGGGUGCUAAUGUGUGUUUGUUGAAUAUGGUUUUGAGUUUUGUGAGGUAUGCUAUUUUUUGUAGGAGGAAUUAUGUUUCUUUUGACAGAAAGAGGGUUCAGGUGUGGAGUAUCUUUAUAGCACUGUUCAGUAAACACAUAGAUAUGUUGUUUAAUUAUGGGAUGGAACAUUUUGAUGAGUCUUUUGUUGAAGGGAGUGGGUUAAUUUCACGAGAGGAGAGUGGAGGUAUCACUUAUAAUUUUUGAAAGCACUGUUUUGAUAUUUUCUUUGUUGAUAAUUUGAUAGGGGGUGAAUUGUUCACCUGCCUCUGUUAGUCUAGUGUCUUCUGUAUUGUUCUCUGUGGAUUGUACUGUAAACAGUAGAUUGUACUGUAAAUAUUGUAAACAAACAUUUUUGAUAAUAAAAAAAAAAAAAAAAAAAAUCACGUUUGCUUCACACGCGAAAGGUCCCUGGUUCGAAACCGGGCGGAAACAACGCUCAUUGACACAUUCUGUAGUACCAUAGUGGUAACAGAAAAUUUCAUGAAUUCUUUAUUUUGGAAAUUCGAAUACGU
rnacentral:lncRNA from 1 species